AUGAGAGAAUUAAUUAUUCACUUCGCCAAGUCCACCGUCAGCGUCCAUAUAUGUAUUUUGUUAUCACGAUGCGUCAAGGCGUUUUAUUGGGUUUCCUCUUUCUUCUGAAAUUUGACGGCUGUCUAACGGAAGAAACUUUAACCGAGGAUUACACGGAGAGUGACUAUAUCGAUAAUAGUAUCGAUCUCAUUCCAACGUAUGUUUCACCUACAGAGAGGUUCCUCCAGAAACUCAGCAACCCCUUCUGGUCGAUCAAUCGCACGGACAAGGAGGCUCGAAAUAUUAUCGAACGUUUCAUACUUGGCCUACCACGACCCAUUCAGAAUCUAUUACUGCCUGUCGAGAGAUCAGCCAAGCAAGGAUUCGGCGACAUUUUGAAUCGAUUUAAGGACAAUAUACACGCCAUAUAUCCUGGUACACUUUGGUGUGGAGCUGGAUCCGUAGCCAAGAACGAAGAGGACAUUGGUAUCUUUAAAUACACUGACUAUUGUUGUAGGGAUCAUGACAAUUGUUCAAACAAUAUUAAUGCUGGUGAUGAAAAAUAUAGUCUGAAGAACAAUGGAAUAUUUACAAGAUCAUUCUGUGACUGCGAUGAAACUUUUUAUAAAUGCUUGAAAAAUGCCAAUAGCCUAAUUUCACAAAAGAUUGGUACUACUUACUUCAAUCUCCUGAGACCGCAGUGCUUCAGAUAUGACUAUCCCAUUACUCGGUGUAAUAAAUAUGCAAGAAACAGACUCUACGACAAUAAAUGCAUCGAGUAUGAUUUGGAUUUAAAUCAAAAUAAAACUUGGCAAUGGUUUGACAAUCCGAACUUCUAAGGGAGAAUGUGACGGAUGGUAAAGCCUACAAUCCAUUUACGUAAAUUCCAUAGAUUCAGAAAAACUAUUGACUACCAAACCUUUUAAUUAGACUACCAAUCACCACCAAAUGAUUAGUACAGAAAAAAAUGUUUAAAAGUUAAAAGGUAAAAUUUAUUGGAGGUGAAAAUCGGCUCAUUGGCAAUCUCUUUACUCAUCUCUGGUAGAUGAUUCUCGGAGUAAUAUGUGUUCCACGUCCUCUAACGGAUUUUUUCGAAACAAAGACUAGUCGCGACAACGCUAUCUGGCGGAAGCAUUCAAAACUAACGAAAAGUACAGUCGACCGGAGAUGUAAAUAAAUUCUAACCAAUCGAUACGAAUAAAAUGUUACUACGUAUAA